rnacentral:rRNA from 1 species
UACGUAGGGUGCAAGCGUUGUCCGGAAUUAUUGGGCGUAAAGAGCUCGUAGGCGGUCUGUCGCGUCUGCUGUGAAAACUCGGGGCUUAACCCCGGGCCUGCAGUGGGUACGGGCAGACUAGAGUGCGGUAGGGGAGACUGGAAUUCCUGGUGUAGCGGUGAAAUGCGCAGAUAUCAGGAGGAACACCGGUGGCGAAGGCGGGUCUCUGGGCCGUAACUGACGCUGAGACGCGAAAGCGUAGGGAGCAAACAGG